UAGUAUUCAAUUGUCAGAGGUGAAAUUCUUGGAUUUAUUGAAGACUAACUACUGCGAAAGCAUUUGCCAAGGAUGUUUUCAUUAAUCAAGAACGAAAGUUAGGGGAUCGAAGACGGUCAGAUACCGUCGUAGUCUUAACCAUAAACUAUGCCGACUAGGGAUCGGAUGAUGUUAAUUUUUUAAUGACUCA
rnacentral:rRNA from 1 species